UGGGGAAUAUUGGACAAUGGGGGCAACCCUGAUCCAGCCAUGCCGCGUGAGUGAAGAAGGCCUUCGGGUUGUAAAGCUCUUUCAGAUGCGAAGAUGAUGACGGUAACAUCAGAAGAAGCCCCGGCUAAUUUCGUGCCAGCAGCCGCGGUAAUACGAAAGGGGCUAGCGUUGUUCGGAUUUACUGGGCGUAAAGGGCACGCAGGCGGUCUUGCCAGUCAGGGGUGAAAGCCCGGGGCUCAACCCCGGAACUGCCUCUGAUACUGUAAGACUAGAGACUAGGAGAGGGUGGUGGAAUUCCCAGUGUAGAGGUGAAAUUCGUAGAUAUUGGGAGGAACACCAGAGGCGAAGGCGGCCACCUGGACUAGAUCUGACGCUCAGGUGCGAAAGCGUGGGGAGCAAACAGGAUUAGAUACCCCGCGUAGUC
rnacentral:rRNA from 1 species